rnacentral:tRNA from 1 species
GGGCCCGUAGCUCAGUUGGUUAGAGCGCCUGACUCAUAAUCAGUAGGUCGCGGGUUCGAAGCCUGCCGGGCCCA